rnacentral:rRNA from 1 species
UACGGAGGGUGCAAGCGUUAUCCGGAUUUACUGGGUUUAAAGGGUGCGUAGGUGGGUAGGCAAGUCAGUGGUGAAAUCUUCGGGCUUAACCCGGAAACUGCCAUUGAUACUAUUUAUCUUGAAUACUUUGGAGGUAAGCGGAAUAUGUCAUGUAGCGGUGAAAUGCUUAGAUAUGACAUAGAACACCAAUUGCGAAGGCAGCUGGCUACACGAAUAUUGACACUGAUGCACGAAAGCGUGGGGAUCAAACAGG